rnacentral:rRNA from 1 species
UACAGAGGUCUCAAGCGUUGUUCGGAUUCAUUGGGCGUAAAGGGUGCGUAGGCGGCGCGGUAGGUCGGGUGUGAAAUCUUGGAGCUUAACUCCGAAACUGCAUUCGAUACUGCCGUGCUUGAGGACUGGAGAGGAGACUGGAAUUUACGGUGUAGCGGUGAAAUGCGUAGAUAUCGUAAGGAAGACCAGUGGCGAAGGCGGGUCUCUGGACAGUUCCUGACGCUGAGGCACGAAGGCCAGGGGAGCAAACGGG